rnacentral:lncRNA from 1 species
CAUUAUUUAAUUGAUUUUAAUUGUUUAAUUGUAAAAUAAAUUGUGUUGAGCAUUUGAUAUUGACUUGUUGGGUUUGACUUAUGUUGUUCGACCUUUGUCAAGGUUGAUUUGACUUUGUUGAGUUAAAAACAUUGGAUUUAGUGGAUUGAUGAAAUGUACAUUUCAUCUCCCAAAAUGAAUGAAUGAUUUUAAUUUGAUAAAAGUCCUCCUUUGACCAAUUUGUGUUGAU